UGGCUGUCGUCAGCUCGUGUCGUGAGAUGUUGGGUUAAGUCCCGCAACGAGCGCAACCCUCAUCCUUAGUUGCCAUCAGGUAAUGCUGAGUACUUUAAGGAAACUGCCAGUGAUAAGCUGGAGGAAGGUGGGGAUGAUGUCAAGUCAUCAUGGCCUUUAUGGAGUGGGCUACACACGUGCUACAAUGGUGUCUACAAUGGGCUGCAAGGUGCGCAAGCCUAAGCUAAUCCCUAAAAGACAUCUCAGUUCGGAUUGUACUCUGCAACUCGAGUACAUGAAGUUGGAAUCGCUAGUAAUCGUGGAUCAGCAUGCCACGGUGAAUACGU
rnacentral:rRNA from 1 species